rnacentral:hammerhead_ribozyme from 1 species
UCACUGCUGAGGAGUCCAACAAUAGGACGAAACGGCCUUUCGGUGU